rnacentral:rRNA from 1 species
CCUACGGGAGGCAGCAGUAGGGAAUAUUGCUCAAUGGGGGAAACCCUGAAGCAGCAACGCCGCGUGGAGGAUGAAUGUUUUCGGAUUGUUAACUCCUUUUGUUAGAGAAGAUAAUGACGGUAUCUAACGAAUAAGCACCGGCUAACUCCGUGCAAGCAGCCGCGGUAAUACGGAGGGUGCAAGCGUUACUCGGAAUCACUGGGCGUAAAGAGCGCGUAGGCGGGAUAGCAAGUCAGAUGUGAAAUUCUAUGGCUUAACCAUAGAACUGCAUUUGAAACUGUUAUUCUAGAGUAUGGGAGAGGUAGGUGGAAUUCUUGGUGUAGGGGUAAAAUCCGUAGAGAUCAAGAGGAAUACUCAUUGCGAAGGCGACCUGCUAGAACAUAACUGACGCUGAUGCGCGAAAGCGUGGGGAGCAAACAGGAUUAGAUACCCGAGUAGUC